CCGGUUGAUCCUGCCGGAGGCUACCGCUAUUGGAGUUCGAUUAAGCCAUGCGAGUCGCGAGUCUUAGGGACUCGGCGUACCGCUCAGUAACACGUGGGUAACCUGCCCUAUGCUGGGGGAUAACCUCGGGAAACUGAGAAUAAUACCCCAUAGUUCACCACGCCUGGAACGGUGGGUGGACCAAAGCUCCGGCGGCAUAGGAUGGGCCUGCGGCGUAUCAGGUUGUAGGGGGUGUAAUGUACCCUCUAGCCCUCUACGCGUACGGGUGUUGAGAGACAUCGCCCGGAGAUGGAUUCUGAGACACGAAUCCAGACCCUACGGGGUGCAGCAGGCGCGAAAACUUGGCAAUGCGAGAAAUCGUGACCAGGGAACUCCAAGUGCAUCGGGUAAGACCGAUGCUUUUCUUGACUCUUCAAAGGUCUUGGAAUAAGGGGUGGGUAAGGACGGUGCCAGCCGCCGCGGUAAUACCGGCGCCCCAAGUGGUAGUCGCUUUUAUUGGGCCUAAAACGUCCGUAGCCGGUCUGGUACAUUCGUGGGUAAAUCAACCAGCUCAACUGGUUGAAUUCUGCGAGCACGGCCAGACUUGGGACCGGGAGAGGUGUGGGGUACUCUCAGGGUAGGGGUAAAAUCCUGUCAUCCUGAGAGGACCACCUGUUGCGAAGGCGCCACACUAGAACGGAUCCGACGGUCAGGGACGAAGCCUAGGGGCACGAACCGGAUUAGAUACCCGGGUAGUCCUAGGUGUAAACGCUGUGGACUUGAUGUUGGGGGCGCUCCGAGCGCACUCAGUGUCGAAGCGAAGGUGAUAAGUCCACUGCCUGGGGAGUACGGUCGCAAGGCUGAACUUAAAGGAAUUGGCGG
rnacentral:rRNA from 1 species